rnacentral:lncRNA from 1 species
UACGAACAAAAAUCUCUAUCAUCUCAAUAGAAAAACUAAAUACAAUAAGUAGUUCCCCCGUCCCAAUUUAACACUUGACAUUUGAUGCAAGGCUUAUUUCGAAUAAUGCCUACAAAACAGAUACACUCUUAGCCAUACCUUUCAAGGGAAAAAACCACCACCGAGACCAAGGUGAUACCUCGGCAUGCAACAAGACCUUAACACACUGAAAACCACCCCAGAAAAACAUGCCAAAUAACAGAAAAAUUUCAGUAUGUAAGGUCGGUCUCACCCCUCUACUAGGAGGAACAAAAAAUUUCGGUAUGUAAAGCAGUUCACAUCAACUUUUUAGUUAUACAGCAUACCAAGGGAGGUUGACAAAGAAAAUUUUCAUUUCCACAACAGAAUGAGAUCUAAACCAACUCCAACGUGCCAUCUUCAAUGUUCCCUAAGAUAAUCUACUUCUUUACUUCCUCAU